AACGAACGCUGGCGGCGCGUCUUAAGCAUGCAAGUCGAACGGCAAGAGAGGAGCUUGCUUCUCUCCUAGAGUGGCGGACUGGUGAGGAACACGUGGGUAAUCUACCCUUAAGAUGGGGAUAGCUGCUAGAAAUAGCAGGUAAUACCGAAUACACUCGGCAUAUCACAAGAGGUGUUGAGGAAAGGAAGCUACGGCUUCGCUUGAGGAUGAGCUUGCGUCCCAUUAGCUAGUUGGUGGGGUAAAGGCCCACCAAGGCGACGAUGGGUAUCCGGCCUGAGAGGGUGAACGGCCACAUUGGGACUGAGAUACGGCCCAAACUCCUACGGGAGGCAGCAGCUAAGAAUAUUCCGCAAUGGACGGAAGUCUGACGGAGCGACGCCGCGUGGAUGAAGAAGGCUGAAAAGUUGUAAAAUCCUUUUGUUGAUGAAGAAUAAGGGUGAGAGGGAAUGCUCAUCUGAUGACGGUAAUCGACGAAUAAGCCCCGGCUAAUUACGUG
rnacentral:rRNA from 1 species